rnacentral:lncRNA from 1 species
ACCAUGGCUAAGUGGAUAACUAAGCAUUAUUUCACAGCAAGCUAUGAUCUUGUUUAACCAAGUGUUUUAAAACCUUUUCAUAUUUUUGACAAGCUUCCCAAAAAUUCACAUCCUAAAUGAAGUCUUUCUUUUGACUUAAAAGUAACUUUGAGAAUUUCUAGUGGGGCCCUGGGACUUCUCAAAGAAUUUGUUCUCUCCCUGUAAAGAGGGAGACACUAAACUAAUUAGGCUUGUUUGGUAUGUAAAAUCCCUAGGAAACAUUGUCAAAUAAGUGAUGCUAAGCUUCAUUUAUGGAUAUUCUUGCAUGCAUAUAUAUUGUUAACAUCAGUGUAUUAGAAAUUAUAUGAAAUUUUUGAAAAAUUUCUUAUAUGUCCUGGUAUAAUGUUAUCACUUGUAAUUCUAGUCAUUAUCUUAAUCCUGCUACCUUAAUUCAAGCACCACAGGAGGAAAAGGACCAUGACUGCAUUUUAUUAUAUAAUUUGGUUCACAGAUGGGUCUUACUUAGAAGGUGAGCAGAGAAAUUACUGGGCUGGAUAUCCUGUCCAUCCUUGAGAAUGCCCACUACUUUCCAUUAACCUUGCUAACCCAGUAAAACAUUUCCUUCUAAAGGCUCAAGAAAUUGCCAUGGAAGAAGAGGAACAAAUGUGACAACAAAAAGGGGGAAUUUUUGAUACCACCAUGCAGAUGUGGCUCAGGCCCAAUAAAAAUAGUGCCUAUUGGAUGACAAUUGCUACUGCUCCCGCAUAUUCAUCAAUUAACCCAUUGGGAACCUGAAAUGAGGAUUUUAUAGGGAAAACAAUACUUUCAGAAACUUUCUCCCACAGUAGCUCAUAAAGCCUAUGCUCAUUGUGCUAUACGCCCAAAGGAUAAUCCAGGAAAACCACUCAUGGGUCACAAGGCCACUUUCCCCUUCCCAAGGGACCCUUUGAGGUAUGGCAGUCGGACUUUGUUCAAAUGCCACCCUCUCAAGGGUAUAAGUAUAUCUUAGUAGUGAUCUGUAUGUUCUUGCAUUGGGUUGGGGCCUUUCCUUGUAGAAGGGCAAUGGCUUUAGCAGUAGGUAAAUUAUUAUUGGAAUGGACAACUUCUGUUUGGGGAAUUCCUACUAGAUUACACAGUGACCAGGGAACUGAUUUCACUGCACAAAUAAUCAAAUCUAUUUGUAAUAUUUGGUCAAUAAUGCGGCAUUUUAACUAAUGGCACAAUUCAAACUCAAUUGGCAAAGCUUUCAGAAGCAUUUAAUCUCUCAUGGCCAAAAGCUCUUCCACUAGUGCUCCACAAUCUUACACCUGUUGGUAAACAUUUGCUGUCUCCCUUUGAAAUAAUAAUAGGACAACUUAUGCAAUUAGAUGAGGGACUAUAUGAACCAACUUUGCUCAAGGGAGAUAUAUUACAUUAUUGUCAGGAUCUCACUGAGACACUUAAAAGAAAUGAAAUGUUGGUAGCUGAUUCCUUUCACAGUGAGCUCCUGAGAGAUGAAGACCUUAAGGAUCAUGGACUACAAUCUGGAGAUUUUGUUUAUUGGAAAACACACCAGAAAACGACUCUUUACAGCCCCAUUGGAAAGGACCAUCCUAGGAUGAGAAGAUAGAAUCUGUUACAGACAACUGUCCCAAGACUCUGGACCAGGCCUGUAUUCCCAACCUUCUCACGCCCAGGAUUAAAGUCUGGAAUGUCUACAGCUGUCUCAUUAGUAGGCUGAGAUGAAACUUCAGAGGAAGGUAGAGCCAGGGCCACAGGCGUAUGUGAACCCUCGAUGUUUGCCUUACUGCUGGACUCUCUCAUAGGAGCCAAUAAAUUUCCCAUCUGUUUAAGCCACACAGAAUCCAGGGAUGAAGACUGAAUCAAGAGUCAAG